AAUAUUGGACAAUGGGCGCAAGCCUGAUCCAGCCAUGCCGCGUGAGUGAUGAAGGCCUUAGGGUUGUAAAGCUCUUUUGUCCGGGACGAUAAUGACGGUACCGGAAGAAUAAGCCCCGGCUAACUUCGUGCCAGCAGCCGCGGUAAUACGAAGGGGGCUAGCGUUGCUCGGAAUCACUGGGCGUAAAGGGCGCGUAGGCGGCCUUGUAAGUUGGGGGUGAAAGCCCGUGGCUCAACCACGGAAUUGCCUUCGAUACUGCUUGGCUUGAGUGUGGUAGAGGUUGGUGGAACUGCGAGUGUAGAGGUGAAAUUCGUAGAUAUUCGCAAGAACACCGGUGGCGAAGGCGGCCAACUGGACCAUCACUGACGCUGAGGCGCGAAAGCGUGGGGAGCAA
rnacentral:rRNA from 1 species